UCACCUCCCAGGUUCACACGCAACCUUCGCUCGUCUCCUUGUUUCUCUCCUCCGCCUCUUCCUCCGGGUGUACUUGCGGCUGCAGUGGGAUGGGAGUAAAGGGGGCGAGCAGGAUGGGUGGCCAGCUGAUUUCUUCGAAGGAUCUGGAGCCCAGGGGCGACGCCGGUGAGUAACCAACCAGUUUCUCAAUCCUUCUUCCCAUCCACUUCUGAUAUGUCAUUAUGCCCAUCUUGCGGAGGACCGGGAGUGGGGGCGAUGGCCAGGCCUGGUGGUGACGGGACGAUUUAGUGGUCGGAGGCGCUGCAUCGGAUGCCAGUCAGUCUGCAACGACGCCGCGCUCGUCGCCGCCGUCGACUCCAGCGCCAGUGUGCCCCUAGGCACCUCCCGCGCCAAGGGAAGAGAUGUGAAAUGCUCAACUUAGGAGGGAGCAUAGACAAGGAAUCUGACGUUGGAAAGAAACAACUGGAUAUCAAAGCAAAAGGAUCACGUCUCCUCUUAGAAAUCAGCUAACUAUUCUAAUUCUGGAGACUCUUAUGGCCCUAGAUCUGCCAGGCAGUUGCAAUUGUUGUUUUAGUCAAACUAAAAAAAUGUUAACUUUGCAGUGUAAGCGGACCCUUUAGCAGGAGAGCAACACAACUGCUAGCUUCCCUGCGGCAGUACAGGAGAUGGAUACGAAGUCCUUGGAGGGUCAGAAUACAAAGCUCUACUAGGUGAUGGAGCUGGAGAAGUUGAGUACUUCCAGUCUCUUGACGAACGAAUCAUUAAAAUGAAGGGAGUUUCUGAUCCUAUUAAAUGUCAUUGCGGACUGGAGUACAAUGUAGAACUAGGCAGGGAUGCCAUGGGUGCAAGAUGAACUCACUAUAUAGAUGACCACAGGUCCAGUGUGUUUAAAGUAUGCAUAUGUGCGGCUGCCGUAUGUACAGCUGGACAACUCCACAUAGAGAAACUGGAUAAAGUGCCAGUGCCGCAGGAGCAAAACAGCGCCCCGGAUGAAGCCAACACGGACGACAAUUAACUUCUCUGACCUUAAUCACAUUAAUGAGUGAACUUUCUUGUAAUCCUUUUUCCUGACAUUAUAAGGCAAUGGCUUAGCCUGAUAUUUUGGUAGUUGUGUAACUUGAAACAUGAUGCUAAGCCGAACAAUUUAUUGUCCUUUUUCCGCAUGAUAUCACAUUUUGGUAGUUGCAAAGCCUAAACUAUGAUGUUUUUGCUACUGCUGUAGUCCCUAAUGAAAUUGUGAGAUAAUGUAGUUAAGCUAAGUUUCUUUUGUUUCAAUAAAACAGAUGUUGGUAGUUGCAUAAGUUGAACCAUGAUGCUUGUUAAGCUAAUCUCAUUGAUUGCACUCCCAAAAAUCACAGGAGCCAUUCAGAAAAAGAUUAGUAGAGUUCUUUACUGUUGAAAUUUCUGAGGGGAUUUAUGGAAGGUUUGUUUAUCUCUCCUCCCAUUCCGAAUUUCAGUUUAACAUUUCUAGCACUGGC